ACUCAAAUGAAUUGACGGGGGCCCGCACAAGCAGCGGAGCGUGUGGUUUAAUUCGAUGCAACGCGAAGAACCUUACCUGGGUUAAAUCUGUGUCGACCGCCGGUGAAAGCCGGUUUCCCUUCGGGGCGGCAUGGACGGUGCUGCACGGCUGUCGUCAGCUCGUGCCGUGAGGUGUUGGGUUAAGUCCCGCAACGAGCGCAACCCCUGGUGCCAGUUGUAUGUUUCUGGCGCGACUGCCCGGAGCAACCGGGAGGAAGGCGGGGAUGACGUCAAGUCAGCGUGGCCCUUACGUCCAGGGCGACACACACGCUACAAUGGCCGGUACAGCGGGUCGCGACGGUGCGAGCCGAAGCUAAUCCCUGAAAGCCGGCCUCAGUACAGAUUGCAGGCUGAAACUCGCCUGCAUGAAGGCGGAGUUGCUAGUAACCGCGGGUCAGCACACCGCGGUGAAUACGUUCCCGGGCCUUGUACACACCGCCCGU
rnacentral:rRNA from 1 species